rnacentral:sRNA from 1 species
AGGCUGCACUGACAGUCACAAGGACCCAAAGAACUCAGGCAUCCUGUUUCCAAUCCCCCGAGCAUAUGUGGGAGCUUCAAGAUAUGCCACGCGCACAAGAGCCCACACAGAUAACAGCAUCAGACACUGCUAUCAUCCAAAGCUUGGGAUGGCGGACAGAGUAAGGAAUCCCAGAAUUGCACUGCACUGCCUGCCGGAGAGACUUUGCCCUUUGCCCCGUGAUGAGGUGUUAUGAUGGGCUGGAGAGCCAAGCAGCAGGGCCUCUGUGGUAAGCAGUUUCAUGGGUUGAAGGCUUUAAGAUUAAAAAAAAAAAAAAAAAAA